rnacentral:rRNA from 1 species
CACACAGGAGGUGAUCGCAAGAUCAUUGGCUGUGUGGAGUGUCACCGGCAGACGAGGUAGUAACACGUAGGAACGAACCAUGAAGUCAGGGACAACCCAUCGAAAGAUGGGCUAAUACUUGAUAGUCUCGCGAGAGUAAAGAUUUAUCGCUUCGUGAUCGGCCUGCGGAAUAUCAGCUAGUUGGUAGGGUAAUGGCCUACCAAGGCUAUGACGUUUAGGAGAGGUGAGAGCCUGGCCUCCACCGAUGGGACUGCGACACGGCCCAUACACCUACGGGUGGCUGCAGUCGAGAAUCUUCCACAAUGGACGAAAGUCUGAUGGAGCGACGCCGCGUGACUGAUGAAGCAUUUCGGUGUGUAAAGGUCUUUUAUGAGGGAUGACAUAGCGACAGUACCUCAUGAAUAAGGGGCUGCUAAUCACGUGCCAGCAGCAGCGGUAAUACGUGAGCCCCGAGCGUUAUCCGGAAUUACUGGGCGUAAAGUGUGCGUAGGCGGUUAUGUUAGUCUUCUGUUAAAUCCACCGGCUCAACCGGUGAACCCCAGAGGAAACGGCAUGACUCGAGUGUGU